GAUGAACGCUGGCGGCGUGCCUAAUACAUGCAAGUCGAGCGAACAGACGAGGAGCUUGCUCCUCUGACGUUAGCGGCGGACGGGUGAGUAACACGUGGAUAACCUACCUAUAAGACUGGGAUAACUUCGGGAAACCGGAGCUAAUACCGGAUAAUAUAUUGAACCGCAUGGUUCAAUAGUGAAAGACGGUUUUGCUGUCACUUAUGGAUGGAUCCGCGCCGCAUUAGCUAGUUGGUAAGGUAACGGCUUACCAAGGCAACGAUGCGUAGCCGACCUGAGAGGGUGAUCGGCCACACUGGAACUGAGACACGGUCCAGACUCCUACGGGAGGCAGCAGUAGGGAAUCUUCCGCAAUGGGCGAAAGCCUGACGGAGCAACGCCGCGUGAGUGAUGAAGGUCUUCGGAUCGUAAAACUCUGUUAUUAGGGAAGAGCAAAUGUGUAAGUAACUAUGCACGUCUUGACGGUACCUAAUCAGAAAGCCACGGCUAACUACGUG
rnacentral:rRNA from 1 species